AGAAGUGAGUGUGUGUGUGUGUUCACUACUCACUGCACCUAAUGUGUGAGCACCAACUUGGAUGGGUUACAUUCAGAGGACAAAUGCCGAGUAUGGGUUGUCAUACUUGGCCUUCACGUCAUGAAGGAUUUGUCAUAUGGGCCCAGUUGUUCAAAAAGUUUAAUCUGGAUCAGAAUGAUCUGCAUUUGGAAAUCCCGUGUUUCGCUAUCCAGGAUCAGGUAGCAGCUCUUACUGAAUGGACUCUGUACUGGAUAGAUGGCCUGCUCCCAGCAUGUGUCUUCCUGUGGACCAGUGGACAGGUGGUUGUCCUGGUCCAGGUGUAGCUGAAACCAUAUUGCCAGAGCAUCAAGAAUACCCUCCCGAGUCACACACAGCCGUAGCUGCGUCACCUCUCUGGAGCAAAGACCCUCCAGCUCCUGCAACACAGAGAAUGCUUAGAACCACUUACUAUGCUCAUGUCACUUUAGGUUUUUCAGUCAUGUUGUUUCUUGACCAUUUUCUUCCAACAUCAUUGUGAUCUGUUUGAGACUUGUUUGAUUAUCAAAAAACAUUUUUAGUUCAACAUUGUACUGCUAAAUACAUGGCUCUAUAUGCUGACUGAGUUCAA